UGACGCAAUACGGUUUAUGUUUCUACACUAAUUAGUAGUUUUUGUAGGGCUGUAGAGGGAGGAUUUGGCACUGUGUAGUCGGCACUGAAGAUGAGUGAUGGAUGGGAGACGGAUACGAAUAUGGUGUUUAUGGAUUAGAAAUCAAGUCGUGAUAAAUCUUUAAUAGCUAUUACUACUCGCUCCUACUCCUUUUUAUCCAUCGACAAUCAUCAAUUUCAUCAUCCCCUUUUCAAUUCCCUUCCUUUUUCACAAUUCAAGUCUACGUAAACAAUAAGUAAUAAUUUUAAGCAAAUUGCUCGGGCCCCUAACUCCCUUCUCCAGGAUAAGUUACUUUUCCCUGCUUCAAACUCAGCUCUAGAUUGAAUCCUACAAGUUACAACAAUCAUCAUCAUUCGUAGGUUCAUGCUAGGUCUUGUAAUAGGUUUUUAGAAUAUAUAUUUCACCUCCUUCACAUCCAAUCACAACUGUUCAAACUUCAAUGCGUAGCUUUCAAAGCAUUUUGAAGGAGACACGGAAUACUACUACUAUGAUUGUGUUGUGCUCACUUCGACCCUUAACUUGUGCUUCCCUAACUGUGCCUUGGGGAAACAACUUUGUUCUUUUUUUAGCAACUAACCAUCUUGAUAAUCAUAUUAUUGGGAGAACUUUGGAUCAUAACGAAUGGAAGUAAAAACAUUGUUUCAACACCCUUAUGAAAUAAAACAUGAUUUUAGUGGUUGAUAAAUACAAGAAGCCGUUUAAUCUGUUGAGUUGAAGAUUGAAUAUGAUAAGGAGACCUUCACAUUUUGAGGUUUAAGUCAAAUUCAAACUCAGAAAGUACAUGCCUAGGAUGGACAUUGGACAUCGUUAAUUAUGAAAUUAUAAGGAACGUCCUUCUGAAAUAGCAAAUCGAGAUAGAUUAUACUAAUUCUUGUUUUUGUAAAUAUAAAUGAUAAAAAUAUACAUAAAGGUAAAGAAUUUA
rnacentral:lncRNA from 1 species